AAUAAAAAAAAAAAAAAAAAAAAAAAAAGAAGGAUAAAAGAAGUUAUAUAAAAUAUGUAUGAUAUAAUACAUAUCAUAAAUGUUGAAGCAGCAUAUUAUUAUAAUAUCUUUUUCCUGUUUAUAUUAUUCUUUUCACUUUCUAAUUUUUUUUAUUGUUAUUCUUUUAUUAUUAAUAUGUUUUAGUUAUAAUGUUCUUAAACAUUUUUAUAAAGUACUAUUUUUUCAUAUGAUUAGAUAUUUUUAAAGAGGAAAAAAGGUUUACUACACAGUGAUUUUAUUUUGUUUCUUAUUAUAAAAAUGACUAGUAACUUAAUUAUCCUAAUCAUAUUUAUAUGGAUUUAUAU
rnacentral:sRNA from 1 species